CGGGGCCUGACGUGAUGAUGAUGAUGAUGAUCCCCGUCAUUAGUAUUCACUUCACAGUUAGUGUGAAGCGGCUAACAUACCGGCUAUGAGUGAGGUCGCCGGCAUCACACUCCUGACUGCAAGUGAUGUAUCAAUCCUUUUGGUGUCCUGAAUGUAGAAUCUACAGACGCAGUCUACUAAUAAUGGCGACAAGCUAUAACAAAGGAGCUUGUAUGAAUUCCUUUAAAGUUGCCUUUCCCCUUCUGCACCGCAGGCAAAACCACUCUUAACAAAUGGCUUGAUCACAUUUCAGAAUGUUUUCUGAUCGUUGCAAUAGAAUUUUACUUUUGUAACUUUUUUGAUUAUAUAUGUACAAAAGCAUUUAAUAAAGCAGUAAUUCAGCUAAUUUGUGUUCAUUCUGUGCCACUAUGCUAAUUGACAAUUUUAAAGGUAAUGUUUCAGCUAGGGUUACAUUUAAUUUGCAUUGUAUUUGCAACAUUGUACAAAAGCAUCAAUAAAUGCUGCUGUCUUUUCUGGUAACAUAA